rnacentral:rRNA from 1 species
GACGAACGCUGGCGGCGUGCUUAACACAUGCAAGUCGAACGGAAAGGCCCUGCUUUUGUGGGGUGCUCGAGUGGCGAACGGGUGAGUAACACGUGAGUAACCUGCCCUUGACUUUGGGAUAACUUCAGGAAACUGGGGCUAAUACCGGAUAGGAGCUCCUGCUGCAUGGUGGGGGUUGGAAAGUUUCGGCGGUUGGGGAUGGACUCGCGGCUUAUCAGCUUGUUGGUGGGGUAGUGGCUUACCAAGGCUUUGACGGGUAGCCGGCCUGAGAGGGUGACCGGCCACAUUGGGACUGAGGUACGGCCCAGACUCCUACGGGAGGCAGCAGUGGGGAAUAUUGCACAGUGGGCGGAAGCCUGAUGCAGCAACGCCGCGUGCGGGAUGACGGCCUUCGGGUUGUGAACCGCUUUCGCCUGUGACGAAGCGUGAGUGACGGUAAUGGGUAAAGAAGCACCGGCUAACUACGUG